rnacentral:rRNA from 1 species
UGGGGAAUAUUGGACAAUGGGCGCAAGCCUGAUCCAGCCAUGCCGCGUGAGUGAUGAAGGCCUUAGGGUUGUAAAGCUCUUUUAUCCGGGACGAUAAUGACGGUACCGGAGGAAUAAGCCCCGGCUAACUUCGUGCCAGCAGCCGCGGUAAUACGAAGGGGGCUAGCGUUGCUCGGAAUCACUGGGCGUAAAGGGCGCGUAGGCGGCGUUUUAAGUCGGGGGUGAAAGCCUGUGGCUCAACCACAGAAUGGCCUUCGAUACUGGGACGCUUGAGUCUGGUAGAGGUUGGUGGAACUGCGAGUGUAGAGGUGAAAUUCGUAGAUAUUCGCAAGAACACCGGUGGCGAAGGCGGCCAACUGGACCAGCACUGACGCUGAGGCGCGAAAGCGUGGGGAGCAAACAGG